rnacentral:lncRNA from 1 species
CGUACGACACCCUUGCUUUUUAUCUCCUCAAGAACCUCUAGUCACUUCACUUCCAAACCUUCAAGACUUGCAUCUCCUGCUACAUUAUUCAAACCCUAACCCCAAUACGCAUACAUACAAUACAAUUCAUUUGAGUUAAGAUAAAGCAAGUUUACUGACAAUGUAAGUUGGUUUCUAAUUUAAUUGAGGUAUGAAGUAAUUCAAGAUGGGAUACAAGUGGUUUGAGCCGAUGGCGAGGAGGAUUCCGAAAAGGGUGUGGCUUGGGUACCAAAUGUCAAUGGGUUUACUCGUGGGUGGGAAUCACACAUCCUCCAGGUUUUGCACACGCUAAAUAGUUCGUUUUCUUCGUUGUUUGGCUUUUUUCUGAUUUGAUAUAAUCUACUUGUGUUUUGCUUUGAGUGAAUCACGGUGCAAUUAUAGAUCUGGCACUUUGAAUUGCUUAAAAGAUCUGGAUUUGGGAUUUAAAAAGAGAACUUAAGUGUAAAAAAUGGAUUUGAACUUGUUGAAAUGGCGAAUUAUUCGUGGGUCAUUCGUCAUGCAUGUGGUACUGAGAGCUUUUAUGUUUGUACUGGCUACGACUAUUCUGUCGUUUAUGCAAAUGACCCAUGAGGCGGGCAUAAUUGGGCGAAUGGUAUCGAAUAUUGAUGUGUGCCCAUUGAGUUUUGGCUCGAACCAGGAUUUAAAUUUCACCGGGCAUCUGAAGCCCACAUCGGCACCUGGUUUUAUGUCUUCCCUAUUUGGGACAACUCCUAUGCCGUGCAUAGAAAGUCAAAACUUCACAAAGAAUGUGUUCAAAGAGCUAAUGGAGAAGAAUCUUUUAGAUUCUAAUGCUAAAGCAUUAUGUGUUGGGGAGAGAUCUGCCUCCACAGUAUUGACGUUGCGGGAGUUAGGAUUGUCCAAUGCCUUUGGUGUAGAUAGACACCCAUUCUUCUCCCUUGUGCAGAGAAGAUUCGUUUAUGAGCUCAACUUUGAGAAUAAUCAUUUUGAUUUUGUGUUCUCGAGAGAUCUUGACAGGGUUUCUGUACCAUCUCUUCUUGUUCUUGAGAUUGAGCGUGUUUUACGUCCUGGUGGAAUUGGUGCUAUUCUUGUGGGAGGACGUAAUUUCCACUCCGGUAGCUUGGUAAGGUUGGCCACACCGGUCGUAUCAUUCUUGAAGAGUUCUGAUGUUAUUUAUGUAUGCGGUGUUGGAUCCUCUACGCUGGUGGUGUUUAAGAAGAGAUAUGAAAAUUUUUCUGCCUUUGAGCAUUUCCAGCUUCCAGAUAAGUGCCCGUCAGUUACGAAAAAUAUAGCGUUUAUGAAGUUUAUGGAGCCUCUUGUGGAUGGAAAGUCAGGGCAAUUUGAGCUGGAGCCUGCAUAUCUGGCUAACUUCAGGAACAUUUCCUCAAGGAACAAAUUAGUGUACAUUAACAUUGGUGCAGGGGAGUUUGCAAAAGAAAGUGUCGCAAAAAUGUCCAAGAAUUAUUGUUCUAAUCACCAUGCAUGCUUCGAUGUUUUUGUUAUUGAUCAUAGAACAUCUGUCCUCUCUUCAUAUGUGACAGGUCCCGGUAUCCAUUUUAUUUAUCAUCCCAGCCUUUCCGGAGAGAAUGCUGCUCGUGAAAUCAACUCUGAUGAAUAUUUUAGUGCACCACCAGAUGAAGGCGAGUUUGACUUUAUUCACUGGUUCAAUGAAACAGUUGCUGAUGGAGAUUUCGUGGUACUCGUGAUGAACACCAAGCCGGUAGAGCUCAAUAUUCUUGUUGAAUUAUUUAAAACCGGAGCAAUAUGCCAUGUUGAUGAACUCUUCCUUAGGUGUUCAAACGAAGAAGAUUGUAAAACAACUACAUGUGGAGACUGUACGCGUCUUUUCAAAAGCCUAAGGAAGAGUGGCGUGUAUGUGCACCAAUUGUUGGGUGAUUAAGCUUCGACCAAAAUGUGGUGAAUUUCAUAUCUUGUUUUAGCCUUUGCUUUAAUUUCGUAUGGAGUUGUUGGGAAAUUAAUCCGUGUGUGAAUUUCCUAACUCGUUUCAGUCUGUCGUUUGAUUACGUGUGAUGAAUAAAACAAGGAGCCAUGGUGGAUUGAGGUUAUAAUCUACCACUCUCCUCUGUUGAACUGAGUUUGAUCCCCUUUAUCAGUUGAAUGGAAUGAUUUCCUCUUUGUUGUUCUGAUUCUACAUGUUAAUGCGUUAUAUUUGGAAAACUGAGAGGAGUUGUUAAUAGGAAUUUGGAAAACCUUUUAUGAUGUCUGGUUGGAGUAAAUCCAAAACAGUGAAACACAGCUAGAAUUUGCUUAUAACUGCACCAAAAAUUGAACCUUUUUUUUUUUUUUUUUUUUUGAAAAAACGGUCAAACUUUAUUCAUUCACCCCUCGCUUAUGGCUGAGGAAUACCAUUGAGACAAAUUCAACAGAACAAAUAUAAGAACCAAGCAGCCAUAUAGCUCUAAUCGAACCCAUAUUGUUAACACAUCAGACCAAGUUUAUCCAUACGAAUAACACCUCUUUAACAAAUGUGGUAUUUGAUAUAAAUGCAUGUACCUCAUCGUGAGACCAUUCGCCCCUUGUCUGGCUAGAAAGUCUGCGGUUCUAUUAGCUUCUCUAUACUGGUCGGAAAUAGUAAAGCUAAUUCCGCCCAGUAAUUUUAAUGACCCAUCCCGAUAAUCCCACAGAUACCAAACUCCGCAUGAGUGGGUUGUUAACCAGUUUACUACAACAGUCGAAUCACACUCAAUUUCCACAUGCUGGAAACCCAUCUCUUUGCAUGGCUCUACCCUAGUCAUGACAGCACGCAAUUCCAUUUCAUUAUUUCUACCAUAGCCAUAUGGAGCAUAGAAGCCAGCAACCAAAUUACCAUAAUGAUCCCUGAUUACUCCCCCACCUCCACAAAGUCCUGUAUUACCAAGACAAUUUCCAUCAACAUUGAGUUUUAUCCAACCAGUAGCAAGUCUCCUCCAAGAAACUAUGAGGGUUGGUUUACUCGUCUUCGAACACAUAGGCAAUUCUAAGGAUUUGAGAAGUUCAUGAUCUAUUUUACUUAGUUUUGAGACUUUACCUAUUUUUUCAGCUAGGAGACGCAGCGAAACCUUUAUUGUAAGCCAAACCUCCUCCGCAGAUUCUCGAAUCCUUUCCAUACGUGCCUUGCAUCGACGUCCCCAUAGUUUCCAUAAUAGCCCAAUUAAAAUUCCAUGCCGUGAGACAUAUUUUGCACAUGUAAACCAUCUAUUGACUCUUGUCCACUAGGAUUGUGUCUCCAUGUAGUGCACACCCAAGGCCAACGAUGCCCACUUCCAAACUGCCUUAGCAAUAUCCCUAGAGUUGAGUACAUGAUCAAGAGUUUCCACUUGACCCUUCUCACAACAAUCACAACGUGAAGCUAGAGCAACUCUUGUUGAUCUCACCCUAAUAACCACACUUAAACAGUUGAACUUCGCCUUCCACAUGAAAACAAAAAAAAAUUUUGGUAGAAUUUUAUGCCAUAUCCAUUUCAUCCAAGGAAUCUGUGGACGCCUCACCCUUACAAUGUCCCAGGCACUUGAAGUAGAGAAAUCUCCAUCAUCGUUCGGCUUCCAUAUGAUCAUAUCACUUCUUUUCUGGCCCUAAUGGUUUGUGUAAUUUCUACUGCCUUUACCUCCCUAGCUACCUCUUUAAGAUAAGUGAAAUCGUAGCCAUCUUCAAUCCAGCAAUCUCUAACCUGCAGUCUUGGAUUGGUAACCCUGAAAACAUGCUCGCUUAAUGGGCCACUCGCUAACCAGCGAUCAUACCAAAAGGAAACUGACCUUCUUUAAUCCUCCAUUUUGAGUUCUCAUAUACCUGAGGUAGAACCUUUACGAUUGAUUUCCAUAGGCUAGAUCCACUGAUAUUAGAGUUUAGUAAAAGGUGACUGCUCUUUACAUAUUUGGAACGGAAGAAGCUAGACCACAAGCUAUUAGUAGUCAUUAGCCACCAUGCAAGUUUCAUAUGGAGAGAUCGUUGAAUUGCAGCAAAAUCACGUACCCCAAGUCCACCCUCUAUAGUUGGCAUCCAUACUUUAGACCAAGCACGCCAUUUCUUUAUGUGUUUUCCAUUACCCUCACCUAGAGGAAUGUAGAUAAUGAGUUCGUGUUAUUGAGAGUUAUCUUUGGCACAUUAACCAUAGCCAACAAAUGUGUUGCCAUACGGGUCACAACAUGUCGGAUUAAAAUAAGGCGACCUCAUUGAGACAGUAACCUCAUUUUCCAACCUGCUAAUUUGUUGCAAAUUUUCGCUACUGAAGUCUUCAAAUGCCUAGCCGUGAGACAGCCAGAAGUAAUAGGCACUCCUAAGUCAACCACUGGGAACUGUCCCUCAGUAAAAUCAGUUAACCGUAGCAAGCUCCUCUUCCUUCUAUAGAUGAUCCUUCUAGAGAAGAAAAUAGUUGAUUUAUCAAUUGUCCCGAUCACUUUUCAUAUGUUUUCAGGGUCUUCAUGAGCAUUUUUAUAGAUCGUCUACCUCCAUUCGCAAAUACUACUACAUCAUUGGCAUAUAAUAGAUGUGAGACCAAAGGGGCCCCAAUAGGAUGAUAGAACCUCACAAUACUGCCUUCUUCAAACCUCUUGCGUAAGAGACGUGAUAAAAUCUCUUCCAUAAUGUUGAACAAAUUAGGAGACAAAGGAUCGCCUUGAUGGAGCCCUCUGCUAGGUUGGAAGAAACCUUUAUGAGUCCCAUUCAUCAUUAUUGAAAACUAAGGAGUUGUAACACACUCUGCCACCAAGUCGUAAAACCUUUUAGAGAAGCCAAAUUCUUCAAGCACGUGUAGGAAAAACCUCCGGUCUACUCUAUCAUAAGCCUUUGCCAUGUCGAUUUUUAACAUAGCAUUACCACCUCUGGUUUUCCUGUUCAAAGAGUGGAUCAUUUCCUGGGUAAGGGUGAUGUUCUCAAAAUGUUUCUAUUUGGAAUAAAUGAUCCCUGUUCAGGUUUGGGAGCAACCAUGUCAUACGCUUGACAAGGAUCUUUGAAAAAGCUUUGUAAAUGACUGAGCAAAGGCUAAUAGGCCUAAACUUUUCAAAACUCCUAGGUUGGUUUACUUUCGGAAUUAAGACAAUGAAUAAAGAGGUGUAAAAUCUGGGUAGUGAGCUACCCAUGAAAAAUUCUCUCACUGCCUCCACUAUGUCGUCCUUCACCAAUUCCCAACACAAGAUGUAAAACCCAGACCCAAAACCUUCAGGCCCGGGGCUGCUCUCUGCUGGAAUAGAAAAAAUUGCAUCCUUUACCUCUUCUUCGGUUGGUUCCACGCAUAGAAGGUCAUUGUCCUCUACUGAUACAACUGCAGAAAUUAGGGGAGUCAAAUCUUGUUGCUCACUUGUUCGAUUAUCAUGCAAAAUUUCUUCAAAGUAUUUAACGGCACCAUUGUGAACCUCUUCUGGCGAAGCUAGAACUGUCCCAUCAGGCAAUUGCAUAGAAGAGAUGUGUGAAGACUUCCUCCGUUGAUUAACCACAGCAUGAAAAAAAUUCGAGUUUUGGUCUCCUUCUUCAAGCCAUUUUUUCUUUGCUUUUUGUGCUAAUCUGGUUUCUUCCCUUUUCUCCCAAAGCUAUAGCUCAACCUUUGUCGCAAGAAAUUCCGUCUCUAAAUUUGGGUCAAAACUGCUUUGCCACUGAUUUUCCAGCACCAAAAAUUGAACUAGUAGAAAGAGCCCGUUUGAGAUGGUCUAUGGGAAAAAAUCAGUCCAUUUUUAUUUAUGAUAAAAUUCAAUACCAAAAUGUGAUAAGACUAGUGUAAAAGAAGAAUAUGGCGGCAAAAAUGAUGCUGCUUGACCACAUUACAUAAAAGACUGAACAAUCAAACUCCAGGACAAAGAACAUGUAGAUAAACGAUGGAUAACUCAAAGCUUCAAAGAGGGUAACAUGGUGAUUGACUUAUCAAAGUAAAGAACAGUUUCCAACAUAUUCUAAGCUCUGAAAAGAAAAUUGAAGAUGAUGCUUACGAAAUUGAUUUGUUGCAAAACUUGGGCAUACAUCCUAAUUGAAUGUUUCUUACUGUCAUGUACCUUAGUUAAAGACUCGAAGAGUCUUUGUUGAGUUUUUAAUUAUAUUUUGAAAUUGUAGGUAGAGUCAAGAAAGUAUGUUUUGUUUACAAUAGAUUUUACUAUACGUUUAGUUCAUGUUUAAUAAGAUUAAGCAUCGUGUUAUUAAAAAAAAAAAAAAUAUAUAUAUAUAUAUAUAUAUAUAUAUAUAAAAUAAUAAUAAUAAUAAGUGUCAUUUUCAGUAGUCUAGAUGUCAUUUUUCGGUAUAAAAGAGUUUGUGUAUGGAGAAGCAAACUAGAAAUUUGUUUUUAAGUAAAAUCAAGUUUUGUUACAGCUAUUGCUUCUACUUUCAGAGUUUCAUUGUAGAAUCUUGUUUACAACAUAAUUCUCUUUUUAAGGAAAAUUCUAGUCCAUGGUUCCCUAACAUUACCAGUUGUCUCACUUGGGUCCCCAUUCAUUUUUCUGUCACAUUUAGGUCUUCAAACUAUUUCUUUUGGUGCAUGUGGGGACAGAUGAAUGGAAAUAGUUCAAAUUUCUAUUAUAUAAUCACUCGAAAGGCAUUUAUGUUAGAAUUUGGAAUGAAUUGGUAGCAAUAGAACUCAUUGCAUGUGUUAAUCUACAAUAUUUCAAAGCAUCAUGCCAUUGAAAUUUAGGAGCGUUAUAAUUACGUUGUUAGGUUGGUGAUAUGCGAGGACAAAUUCAAGACUAUCCCAUCAAAGUUUGGACUUGGUAUGGUAUCAAACUCUCUAAUAAGUUUUGAGGAAAAAUUGGAUGAAAAAUGAUGCGGAUAGAUAUUUGUCAGACGCUUGUGAAGAUAUAGAAAAGAAUGAUUUGAUGUUCUCAAUUGAAUGGGGGUUAAUGGACAUAAGUAUGGUACUUUGUCCAAACUUGCAUGGAAUGUUAUGGCAAUUCAAGCAUCAACGUGGGUUCAAAAAAUGUUUUUAGUGUUGGAAGAAAAAUUCUCGAUCCCUUUCAUAGUUUUUAAUGUAGUGGUGUGAAUUCAAAAUUGGCAUAAAUGGUCUCCCAACUUGGAGAUAUUCUAUAUGGAGGAAUAUAACAAAUUGGACAACGGCGAUAUAACAAACAAGCUAUUCCAUGAAUUAUGUUAAAGUUUAUUUGUUUUUAUCAAUUUUGUAGAGUUUUCGGAUCAAUGAAACCAAAUGAAGGCUAAAUCAAAGUGAUUGUGCGUUUUCGAUUUUCUUUUAGGUUGAUGUAUAAUGUAUUGCAAUUUGCACAACUCUUUAUCACUAAUAUUCAUAUUCUUCUCUAAAUAUUUCUAUUAUGUUGUUGUCGGAAUGCUGCUUAAAACUUAUGGGACAUUCAAAUAAUGUAAUAUGCUGCCUUAAUAUUUGUUUUUUAAGAGUUCGAAUUUUGGAUGAUGUAGUAUUUUUAUUUUUUCAUUUAUUGAGGUUGGAUUAUUGUAAUAUUUUUAGUUGUUGG